GGGAGCCGAGGGCGGAGGCGACACUCUCAGGUGAGCUGCGGGGAGACCUGGCGGAGCCUGCGGACGCCUGCUCCGCCUCGGAUGUCUCUGUCCGCGGUCCCAGGUCCCUGAGGUGGCCAGAGAGGCGGGGCGGGGCCCCCUGGCACUGCCUGACGUCCCCUCGGGGACCCUUCUUGGGUCCCGAGACUUUUCCAGGAGGGUCAUCCUGAGACCUGGGCUCCCGGACCUACUGGUGCCCACCGAAGACCAGAUUUCUUUGCUUACCUGCCAGUGUCGCCCUCAGCACCCUCGCCCCUCCUCUUGUCUGCAUAGAGUUAAGCCACCUCUCACCUUUGGUCUCCGAAGUGUCCCUUCUUCGUUUGGAGAUCGAGCAUAUUUUGGGAAAUUCCGGGAUACUAGCUCCAGUGUCAGGAACAGUUUCUGUUCCUUUUCCUGGGUGUAAUAUUCACAAAGUGUAGUAUGGGGAAAACUUUGAUCACCUCUAGCCCAGCAGUUGUUGAAUGGAGUCUACUGGCUUAUUCACACGAUUGGGCGGGGAGGGGGUGACAUUUAACAAGCCUUACGUGUUGGAAGUUGUCACUCUCGCUCCCCUCCCCCCUCUUAAAUUCAGACUAAUAUGCUAAAAUCAUAUUUAGCUACUGGCACAGAUAUAGGCAGAAAUUUGCCUGGAGUUUAGUUUUUCAAGCUAGGAAAUUGCAAAUAGGUAUAGAUUUUUAAAAAUGGGUUUUUGAUGUUGUAACAAAUGUUUCAUUUGGGGAAAAAAUAGGUCGUUAGGAAUAGUAGUCGGUAUCCAUGUACUCUACUUAAUUGUUUUGCUAGUGAUUCUUGUUUUGAAUUUGGAGAAGUCGUUAGUGUUGCCAUGCUAACCUGCUCUCUUAGCUUGUAUUUUAACGAUUUAAAAGGAA
rnacentral:lncRNA from 1 species